AAGCAAAGUGAGGACAUGGAUGAGGUCACAUCAUCAGCUUGACCAGCUGAGCUGCUGCUGGGAAUUACAAGCAGGCUCAUUCUCCAAAACAUUAGCAAAUGUGGAUGCCCCAAGUCUCCACAUUCCCUGGACGACAAGCAUCAUGCCUGCCACAGGAAGCAACAUAACUAAUUUGAAACUCCAGAAAAUCUCUGAUCAUCAUUGUUCCCAUCGUAAGUUGUGCCAGCCAUGUGCAAGCCCCCAGCGUGCUGUUAGACCUAGAGGCAUGUGUAGAGCAACGCAGCCUGCCCUCCAGGACUGAUGUGAAGACCCCCAAAGGGGACCUUUGGGGUUAGGUUCUGAGUGGCAGCUGAGAAGAGAACAGGAUCAGAAGGAGACAUGAGGGAGACCUGACAUGUUUCAGCCCCGAAAGAUACCCGCCUCUCCCCCACCCCUGCCUGAGGUGUCCCACUCACCCACAUUCUCCCCUUUGACCUCCUCCCUGUCUUCCCUCCUCUUCCUUCUCCUCGUCCAUACAUCCUGGGCGGCUGCCUCAACGUCCUCCCCACCACCAUCCCAGCCCUGCUGUGUCUGGUGGUUCUGCUUACACCCCACUCUAGAAAACCCAUCCUUGCACUUGCUGUGUCUAGUCUGGCCUCCCUUCUGACCUCUCAUGGUGCCACUGCUGACAGCAGGCUCCUCACUGGGUGCUAUGACAUUGCUGGGACCUACCCCUUCCUACCUCUCCCACCUUCCAGUUCUUGCCACCCCCCACAACCCCACUUGCUGUCCUACAGCUGGCUGCCCCCUUCCCGCCAACAUUUCCUGGAGCCUGGUCCCAGGGUGACCAGCAUCUCCUGGGCUUGGGCUGGCAUGGCCACCUACUCAGUCUUCCUGAGGCUGGCCUGGGGCCAACUCAAUCAUUGCCCAUGUGCAGAUGCUGGUAGGGACAGAAGGUUUGUGUCUUCUGCAAAUUCAUGUUAAAAUCCUGACCCCCAAGGUCAUGGGGUUGGGUGGGAGGGGCUCUGAGAGGUGAUUAGGUCAUGAGGGUGGAGCCCCAUGAUGGAGUUGGCGCCCUUAUAAAAGGACCCCACGAGUCUCCCUUACUCCUUCCUCCAUGCGAGGACACAGUGGGAAGGUACCUGGGUACAAGCCAAAGAACCAGACAUUGAGUCUGCUAGCAUUGUGACCUUGGACUUCCAGCCUCCAGGACAGUGAGAAGUAAUUGUGUGCCAUAUCAGCCACCUGGUUGGUGGUUGGCCAGUGCAGCCCGUGUGGAUGGAGGCAUACGUUCCCUUGGUCCAGCUUGUCCCCUCUCCUGC
rnacentral:lncRNA from 1 species